rnacentral:rRNA from 1 species
GACGUAGGGCGCGAGCGUUGUCCGGAUUUAUUGGGCGUAAAGAGCUCGUAGGCGGCUUGUCGCGUCGACUGUGAAAUCCCGCGGCUCAACUGCGGGUCUGCAGCCGAUACGGGCAGGCUAGAGUUCGGUAGGGGAGACUGGAAUUCCUGGUGUAGCGGUGAAAUGCGCAGAUAUCAGGAGGAACACCGGUGGCGAAGGCGGAUCUCUGGGCCGAUACUGACGCUGAGGAGCGAAAGCGUGGGGAGCGAACAGG